rnacentral:rRNA from 1 species
ACGAGAAAUCAACUGUCUCUUAAUAAAUUUUUGAAUUUACCUUUUGAGUCAAAAGGCUUAAAUUCUUCUUUAGGACGAGAAGACCCUAUAGAGCUUGACAUUUUACUUUUAUAUAGUUUUUUGUUUGUCUUUCUAUAUUUAAUGAUGUGUUUUGUUGGGGUGACWUGAAGAAUAGAUAAACUCUUCAUUAUUAUAUCCUUUAUUUAUGUUUGUUAUUUGAUCCAUAMUUUAUGAUCAUAAGAUUAAGUYACCKUAGGGAUMACAGCGUAAUUGUUUUUGAGAGCUCAUAUCGAC